rnacentral:rRNA from 1 species
UACGGAGGGUGCGAGCGUUGUCCGGAAUCACUGGGCGUAAAGGGCGCGUAGGCGGCGCGGGUAGUCAUCGGUGAAAGUUCAGGGCUCAACUCUGAAUCGGCCGGUGAUACUCCCGUGCUCGAGCACUGUAGAGGCAGGUGGAAUUCCGGGUGUAGCGGUGGAAUGCGUAGAGAUCCGGAAGAACACCGGUGGCGAAGGCGGGUCUCUGGGCCGAUACUGACGCUGAGGAGCGAAAGCGUGGGGAGCGAACAGG